rnacentral:rRNA from 1 species
GGAUUGGGAGGGUUCUACGGAACCCGUUUGGUGAAUCUAGUGCCGAGAAAAGCCUUCUAUGUGUUGAAUUUCUAGUACCCGUACCCCAAACCGACACAGGUGGGUGGGUAGAGCAUACCUAGGGGCGCGUGAUAACUCUCUCUAAGGAACUCGGCAAAAUGGCCCUGUAACUUCGGGAUAAGGGGUGCCUGCGUGAGCAGGCCGCAGUGAAAUGGCUCUGGCGACUGUUUACCAAAAACACAGGUCUCUGCUAAGUCGUAAGACGAUGUAUAGGGGCUGACUCCUGCCCAGUGCCGGAAGGUUAAGGAAGUUGGUUAGCGCAAGCGAAGCUGGCGACCGAAGCCCCGGUGAACGGCGGCCGUAACUAUAACGGUCCUAAGGUAGCGAAAUUCCUUGUCGGGUAAGUUCCGACCCGCACGAAAGGAGUAACGAACAGAGCGCUGUCUCGGAGAGAGACACGGCGAAAUAGGAUUGUCCGUGAAGAUACGGACUACCUGCACCCGGACAGAAAGACCCUAUGAAGCUUUACUGUAACUUGGAAUUGUGUUCGGACUUUGUCUGCGCAGAAUAGGUGGGAGGCUAUGAAACGUUCCUCGCGGGGAACUGGAGCCAUCGUUGAGAUACCACUCUGGCAGAGUCUGGAUUCUAACCUACGGGGACAGUUCCAGGUGGGCAGUUUGACUGGGGCGGUCGCCUCCUAAAAUGUAACGGAGGCGCGCAAAGGUUCCCUCAGGCUGGUUGGAAAUCAGCCAUAGAGUGUAAAGGCAUAAGGGAGCUUGACUGUGAGACCUACAAGUCGGGCAGGGACGAAAGUCGGCUUUAGUGAUCCGACGGCACUGAGUGGAAGGGCCGUCGCUCAACGGAUAAAAGUUACUCUAGGAUAACAGGCUGAUCUCCCCCAAGAGUUCACAUCGACGGGGAGGUUUGGCACCUCGAUGUCGGCUCGUCGCAACCUGGGGCGGUAGUACGUCCCAAGGGUUGGGCUGUUCGCCCAUUAAAGCGGCACGUGAGCUGGGUUCAGAACGUCGUGAGACAGUUCGGUCCAUAUCCGGUGUAGGCGUAGGAGCAUUGAAAGGAUCUCUCCUUAGUACGAUAGGACCGGGAGGGACGUACCUCUGGUGUACCUGUUAUCGUGCCAACGGUAAACGCAGGGUAGCCAUGUACGGAGUGGAUAACCGCUGAAAGCAUCUAAGUGGGAAGCCCACCUUAAGAUGAGUGCUCCCUUGAGGCCACGGGAAGACGACCCGUUUGAUAGGCGCUAGGUGGAAGUGCAGUAAUGCAUGCAGCCGAGGCGUACUAAUAGGCCGAUGGCUUGUCC